CAAAAAUUAUAUAUGUGUUCUAUUGUCUAUGGAAAUCCUCAGUCAAACAGGUUCAUCUAUGCACAUCAAUCACAGCUAUGGUAUGGAAAUCUGAAAUAGAAUAGAAACCGCACUAUGGUGUAGUAACUUCUCAAAGGAGGUGUCACCUG